AGAGCCGUGAAAGGAGAACUAAACAAAAGUGUAAACCGAUCAGAAAGGUAUCUGAUGCUGAUUUAGAUAAAUAAAAGAGUCUCAAUGAAGAAAAAUAUCAAAGACUUUAAUCAUCAAAUUAGUUUAGUCGAUGAAGUCAUUAGAGAUUCUCACACAUAACUAUUUCAAUAUUUCAUACAAUACUAAAUACUAAGAGCACCCGCAAUGGUGUUACUCAAAAAGAGUUCUUAGAAAAAGUGUAUUUUGAUUUUUUUAGUAUUAUUUUUUUUUUC
rnacentral:lncRNA from 1 species